AAGUCGUAACAAGGUUUCCGUAGGUGAACCUGCGGAAGGAUCAUUACCGAGUACCGGGUCCUUGGGCCCUUACUCCCACCCUUUGUGUACCUACCGAUUUUUCGUUGCCUCGGCGGGGUCGAUCCCCAGGGCCUGCCGGCCCUGUGGGGGACCUGCCGGGGGGACACCCCAAAACUCUUGUCAACAGUGACGUCUGAGAAAAAACAAACUAGUCAAAACUUUCAACAACGGAUCUCUUGGUUCUG
rnacentral:misc_RNA from 1 species